rnacentral:rRNA from 1 species
GACGAACGCUGGCGGCGUGCUUAACACAUGCAAGUCGAACGGAAAGGCCCUGCUUUUGUGGGGUGCUCGAGUGGCGAACGUGUGAGUAACCCGUGAGUCACCUUCCCUUUACUUUGGGAUAACUUCAGGCAACUGGGGCUAAUACCUGCUAGGAGCUCCUGCUGCUUGGUGGGGGUCGGACAGCUUCGGCUGUUGUGGAUGGACUGGCGGCUUACUAGCUUGUUGGUGGGGUACUGGCUUACCAAGGCUUUGACGGGUAGGCGGCCUGGGAGGGUGACCAGCGACAUGGGGACUGAGAGAGGGCCCAGACUCCUACGGGAGGCAGCAGUGGGGAAUAUGGCACAGUGGGCGGAAGCCUGAGGCAGAAACGCCGCGUGCGGGAUGAAGGCCUUCGGGUUGUAAACCGCAUUAGGCUGUGACGAAGCGUGAGUGACGGUAAUGGGUAAAGAAGCACCGGCUAACUACGUG